UCUGCACAAACCUUUGGGCAGCCCCAAGAGGCAGCUUGCUGACAGGGCAGGGGCUCUCCCACCAUGGUUCCCUGCUGUUUCUUUGUGGCCAUGCUGGCCCCUUUGGUGUUAGCCCUGGAACAGUCUCCAGACAUGGUGAUCAAAGAAGGCCAGUCCGUGAAUCUGGAAUGCUCCCAGAAGAAAUCCUCCAGCACAGCUAUGUACUGGUUCAUGCUGCCUUCAGAGAAGAAUUCCAGUCUGACUCUACUGGCAUCUGCACUACAGGGUGGUAAUGCAGCAGUGGAGAAGGGUUUUGAGAGCCAUUUCAAGAGCAGCAAGAUAAAAGGAGACAGUAUCACCCUCUCAAUAGAACAUGCCUUUCUCAAUGACUCUGGCACAUACUACUGUGCUGAGGGUGAGCACAGUGGUGAGACUGCUGAGGGAGCUGAGCACAAACCUGUCCCUGCACAAACAGGACCUGCUUUCCACUUGUGGCUGCUGCACGAGGCAGGGUGAUCACUGCUCACUCCUUAGCUGCUCUGCUUCCUCGCCUUGCCUUCUUCCUCUUCUCAGAUGCUGACAGUUUAUUUCUCCAUCAUUGUCUUCUUGCCACUCCAGGCCUCCCUCUGCAUUUACCUCUUUUUAGCAUUACACUUGCUUCUGUCAGCACUUCUUCUGCUCUUUGUCUCCCUUUCCUUCCCUUCCCUAGCUGCUUCUUUCUGUCUUCAAUCUGCACUCCAUUGUCUUCCUCUUACUC